AGAGUUUGAUCAUGGCUCAGAAUCAACGCUGGCGGCGUGCCUAACACAUGCAAGUCGAGCGAGAAAAGGGGGGCAACUCCCUGAGUAAAGCGGCGCACGGGUGAGUAACACGUGGGUAAUCUGCCCUGAAGUGGGGAAUAACACCGGGAAACCGGUGCUAAUACCGCAUACGAUCACGGAGUCUGCGGAUUUUGUGAUGAAAGGAGCAAUUCGCUUUAGGAGGAGCCCGCGGCUGAUUAGCUAGUUGGUGAGGUAAUGGCUCACCAAGGCUACGAUCAGUAUCCGGUCUGAGAGGACGGUCGGACACACUGGAACUGAGACGCGGUCCAGACUCCUACGGGAGGCAGCAGUGGGGAAUUUUUCGCAAUGGGGGCAACCCUGACGAAGCAACGCCGCGUGGGUGAUGAAGUCUCUUGGGACGUAAAACCCUUUCGACGGGGAAGAAACCGCAAGGUUGACGGUACCCGUAGAAGAAGCCCCGGCUAACUCCGUGCCAGCAGCCGCGGUAAUACGGGGGGGGCAAGCGUUGUUCGGAAUUACUGGGCGUAAAGGGUGCGUAGGCGGUUCGUUAAGUUGGAUGUGAAAACUCUGGGCUCAACCCAGAGCCUGCAUCCAAAACUGGCGAGCUAGAGUUCUGGAGGGGGUAGUGGAAUUCCUGGUGUAGCGGUGAAAUGCGUAGAUAUCAGGAGGAACACCGGUGGCGAAGGCGGCUACCUGGACAGAAACUGACGCUGAGGCACGAAAGCUAGGGGAGCAAACAGGAUUAGAUACCCCCGUAGUCC
rnacentral:rRNA from 1 species